UGGGGAAUAUUGGACAAUGGGCGAAAGCCUGAUCCAGCCAUGCCGCGUGUGUGAAGAAGGUCUUUUGGUUGUAAAGCACUUUAAGUGGGGAGGAAAAGCUUAUGGUUAAUACCCAUAAGCCCUGACGUUACCCACAGAAUAAGCACCGGCUAACUCUGUGCCAGCAGCCGCGGUAAUACAGAGGGUGCAAGCGUUAAUCGGAAUUACUGGGCGUAAAGCGCGCGUAGGUGGUUAUUUAAGUCAGAUGUGAAAGCCCCGGGCUUAACCUGGGAACUGCAUCUGAUACUGGAUAACUAGAGUAGGUGAGAGGGGAGUAGAAUUCCAGGUGUAGCGGUGAAAUGCGUAGAGAUCUGGAGGAAUACCGAUGGCGAAGGCAGCUCCCUGGCAUCAUACUGACACUGAGGUGCGAAAGCGUGGGUAGCAAACAGGAUUAGAUACCCUGGUAGUCCACGCCGUAAACGAUGUCUACCAGUCGUUGGGUCUUUUAAAGACUUAGUGACGCAGUUAACGCAAUAAGUAGACCACCUGGGGAGUACGGCCGCAAGGUUA
rnacentral:rRNA from 1 species